GGUGAACGCUGGCGGUAGGCCUAACACAUGCAAGUCGAACGGACGCACAGUAAGCGCUUGCUCUUAAGGGUGGCGAGUGGCGGACGGGUAAGGAGUACAUAGGAAUCUACUUUUUCGUGGGGGAUAACGUAGGGCCACUGACGCUAAUACCUAAUAUGACCUACGGCAGAAAGCAGGAGAUAUACAGGCUUUGCGUGAUAGUAUGAGACGAUGUCGGAUUAGCUAGUUGGCGAGGUAAAGGCACACCAAGGCAACGCUACGUAGCUGGUCUGACAGGAUGAUCAGCCACACUGGAACUGAGACACGGUCCAGACUCCUACGGGAGGCAGCAGUGGGGAAUAUUGGACAAUGGGCGAAAGCCUGAUCCAGCCAUACCGCGUGGGUGAAGAAGGCCUUCGGGUUGUAAAGCCCUUUUGUUGGGAAAGAAAAGCAGCAGGUGAAUACCCCGCUGUUCUGACGGCACCCAAUGAAUAAGCACCGGCUAACUUCGUG
rnacentral:rRNA from 1 species